AUUGAACGCUGGCGGCAUGCUUUACACAUGCAAGUCGGACGGCAGCACAGAGAAGCUUGCUUCUUGGGUGGCGAGUGGCGAACGGGUGAGUAACAUAUCGGAACGUACCGAGCAGUGGGGGAUAACUAAUCGAAAGAUUAGCUAAUACCGCAUAUUUUCUGAGGAAGAAAGCAGGGGACCUUUGGGCCUUUCGCUGUUUGAGCGGCCGAUAUCUGAUUAGCUAGUUGGUGGGGUAAAGGCCUACCAAGGCGACGAUCAGUAGCGGGUCUGAGAGGAUGAUCCGCCACACUGGGACUGAGACACGGCCCAGACUCCUACGGGAGGCAGCAGUGGGGAAUUUUGGACAAUGGGCGCAAGCCUGAUCCAGCCAUGCCGCGUGUCUGAAGAAGGCCUUCGGGUUGUAAAGGACUUUUGUCAGGGAAGAAAAGGGCGGGGUUAAUACCCCUGUCUGAUGACGGUACCUGAAGAAUAAGCACCGGCUAACUACGUG
rnacentral:rRNA from 1 species